GAAGAAGAAGAAGAAGAAGCAACACCAGAAAACCACAGAAAUGGUGAAGGAUAGGAAGAUCGGAGUGGCUCUGGAUUUCUCCAACAGCAGCAAGAAUGCUCUCAAAUGGGCCAUCGACAACUUAGCCGACAAGGGCGACACUCUCUUCAUCAUCUACGUUAACCCCCAUUCACUCAACGAAUCUGCUCAUCAUCUCUGGGCAGAAUCCGGUUCUCCGCUGAUUCCGUUGUCGGAAUUCCGAGAGCCUGAUGUUUUGAAGAAGUACGAUGUCAAAAUCGACAUCGAAGCCCUCGAUAUUCUCGACACUGGAGCUAGACAGAAAGAGAUUACGGUUGUGUCGAAGCUGUACUGGGGAGAUGCGAGGGAGAAGAUUAUCGAUGCAAUCGAAGAUCUGAAGCUG
rnacentral:misc_RNA from 1 species